CGUUGGUAAAGUUUGUCGUCUCGCUACUCCCUCCGCCCCCCCUUCUCGGCCCCAGCCAUGAGCAUUGGCAACCAUUCCGGAUAUUCAAUAUAAGCCGAAAAUAUAAAAACUGAAACGAUAUCAAAACUGAAAAAAUGUUUUAAAAAAAAAAUACCAGAAAGGAUUACAAAUUGAAUAGGGAUUUCCGUGAUAGAUAAAUCUGUUGUAGGAAAUUAAUCCUGCGAGAAAGUAUAAAAGAAGUCUAUAUAAGAUGCCCAUCUGAUUUCCCUUAUCAAUAGACUUGGACGCAAAUUAUUAUUAUAUGUUAACUGGUCUAAUUUAAGAUAAGUUGCACCUGAUAAGAUGCGUUCAGCAUAAAGCUCUGCUCUAUUUUAUUGGAUCGAACAUGGAAUGUCUAGGAAUGUGUUUCUGGCUGAGAUACAUCCGCAGUCGAGCUACGACUGUGGGGGCUGUGUUGACAACGAGCUGACAACACUUCAAUGGAGCAUUCCACAAAACGCUUUGUUCAAUCGCCCCACUGUCUAAACAAGCAAUAAAAUUUCCGACAACCUCUAUAAAAACACUCGACGCCAAAUGCUUGGCACUAAUUGUCUCUCAAACGAACGAAAAAUUCCAAAAAUAUGCGCCGCAGCUUCUCCUGCUACGUCGAUGGACGCCAGCGCUAGGGUGGGUGACUCUGUCAACGAGGGAGACGAGUCUAUAAAAUUAGGAAUCGCUGUUGGAAAAGCUAUAACAUCGCGGCCAUCAAUAAGUUAUUUUAAUUCUCAUUUAUUUAUUUUGACAUCAAGCCCGGCAGGCAAUUAAAUGUCAACACGCACAGUUUCUGUCUAUACGAUAUUAUGCGGUAGCUCGAAAUCGGAAUACAGAAUUUCGAAUUCAGAGCUGGCCCUCUGAUAUAUCGAGGCAAAUUCGGGAUCAGCGAGGGACCGAAACGGAGUCGCUUGGGAUCGUAUGGGAUCGCAUGGGAUCGCAUCACUUAAGGCAAACAAACAAAAACCUAAUGCACGGGUCGUAAAUGAGUCGCCGCGAGCCUGAGGCGAGAAUUGAUUAAUUUGUUAGUUGUUCUUUGGAACAGCUGAUGGGAAGUGUCAGAUGUGGGGCCGGGGGUAGGCAGCUACUGAGCUAUUUUCUUUCUUGGCUGUUCUGCUCUGCUUUGCCAGCUGUUGCGAGAACUCUUCGCAUUACGGUUUGUUUUCUCAACGAUUUCCGCUGUUCCAUUUUUUCAUAUUUUGUCUACGCCGUGUUUGAAUUAUCAAAUAGCUACCUGAAGUAAAAAAAACAUUAAU